UUCCUUGCCUGGGAAAACAGGAAUGUGGCUGAGAGUGCCAGUGAGCAAAAUAACUGCAUUAGCUUAUAAUGCCACCAACUGUUACACGUCCUUAGCACAGGGAGGGUUUAAAUAAUUGUAUGUUCAAUAAUUUUAUUUCCUUGUGCAGGAAUCAGGAGGUUAUAUAAAACCUGAUACUGCUAGAAUGAAAUAACAUCUUCUGACAGUUCCAGCAUGGUAAGUUGAAAACAAACAAGGAGGAACGGAAAUGAGCUACUUUGUAAUCAGCCAAGUCAGAGCAGCAGACGAGCCCGGCUGGCUUGGGUUUCUCUCUGGGAUGCCAUUCAAUGCCACUUUUAUUUCUGAGCACGAUGGUGCAGCCAAGGCUGGAAAUGGAGGGAUUUGAAAAACAACAGGAAGAAAUUCCAUAUGCCCUACCUGUCCUGUGAAAUGUUACAGGAGCCCCGUGGAUAACUGCUGCAGGGCUGCACUGAUCACAGUCUGGGGCUGAACCAGGGGACAGAGGGUUAAGCCCGAGUUAUUUUGAACAAUACAUUUCACUUUAUUUUCCCGUUUUCCUACUUUGCAGACUUACAUUCUGAGGCUUUACUACUUAAUCCCCACUGUAGUAAUAAAAAUUUUUAAUCCUGUGUUUAAAA